rnacentral:rRNA from 1 species
CGCGUAGGCGGUCUGUUAAGUGGGAUGUGAAAUCCCCGGGCUUAACCUGGGAAUUGCAUUUCAAACUGGCCGACUAGAGUACGGUAGAGGGAGGUAGAAUUUCCUGUGUAGCGGUGAAAUGCGUAGAUAUAGGAAGGAAUACCAGUGGCGAAGGCGGCCUCCUGGAUCGAUACUGACGCUGAGGCGCGAAAGCGUGGGGAGCAAACAGGAUUAGAUACCCUGGUAGUCCACGCCGUAAACGAUGAGAACUAGCCGUUGGACCCCUUGAGGGUUUAGUGGCGUAGCUAACGCGAUAAGUUCUCCGCCUGGGGAGUACGGCCGCAAGGCUAAA